rnacentral:lncRNA from 1 species
GUGGGGCAGGGUGUCCGGGUUAUGGGUCCCUAUGGGGCAGGGUGUCCGGGUUUAGGUCCCUAUGGGGCUGGGUGCGGAUCUAUGGGGCAGAGUGUCCGGGUUAUGGGUUCCUAUGGGGCUGGGUGUGGAUCUAUGGGGCAGAGUGUCUGGGUUAUGGGUCCCUAUGGGGCUGGGCGCGGAUCUAUGGGGCAGAGUGUCCGGGUGCGGAUCUAUGGGGCACGAGGCCACGCCCCCCUGUCCCCCCCCAGAGCUGGAGGCGGCGGUUGUGGGGCUGCUGCGGGAGCUGUGGGGGCGCAGCCCCAUAGAAGUGGGGCGGGGGCUGGAGCGGCUGCCCCAUAGCGACCGCGUGCGGCUGCGGAACGCCAUGAUCGCAGCGCACUUAUGGGGCUGCCCCAUAGCGCUCACCCGCGCUCGGGGUCUGGAAGAGCUCCUCCGGGCUCCGGCGACGCUUGUGGGGCGGCUCCGGGAUCACCUGUGGGGCGGCCCCAUAGCGCCGUGGGUCGCCGCCCCCCUCGAAGGGACGCGCGCGCGGGGCCGCCCCACAGAUGUGGGGCCGCCCCAUAGAUGUGGGGCUCACCAGGGGCCGGCAGCGGGCGCCGGGGUCGAGCAGCUGCUGGCGGAAUUCCUGCUGCGGGAUCUGCACUUGGGGGUCCCAGUGGGGCGGCCGUGGGGCGCGGCGCCGCCGCGGAGGGGGGAGCUGUGGGGCGGCCCCAUAGAUGCCCCAUAGAUACCCCAUAGCGCCCCAUAGAUACCCCAUAGUGCCCCAUAGAUAUCCCAUAGAGCCCCACAGCGCCCCAUAGAUACCCCAUAGUGCCCCACAGAUGCCCCACAGCGCCCCAUAGAACCCCACAGCGCCCCAUAGUUACCCCAAAGCGCCCCAUAGAACCCCACAGUGCCCCAUAGAUGCCCCAUAGAGACCCACAGAUAACCCACAGAGCCCCACUGCGCCCCACAGAUAACCCAUAGUGCCCCAUAGAGCCCCACUGCGCCCCACAGACCCCCACAGCGCCCCAUAGAUACCCCAUAGUGCCCCAUAGAUGCCCCACAGUGCCCCACAGAUACCCCAUAGUGCCCCAUAGAGCCACACUAUGCCCCAUAGAACCCCACAUUGCCCCAUAGAUGCCCCACAGCGCCCCAUAGUACCCCACAGAACCCCACAGUGCCCCAUAGAUACCCCACAGCGCCCCACAGAUAUCCCAUAGCGCCCCAUAGAUGCCCCAUAGUGCCCCAUAGACGCCCCAUAGAACCCCACAGUGCCCCAUAGAUACCCCACAGCGCCCCAUAGACACCCCAUAGAACCCCACACUGCCCUACAGGUACCCCACAGUGCCCCAUAGAUGCCCCACAGAUGCCCCAUAGUGCCCCAUAGAUACCCCAUAGCACCCCACAGUGCCCCACAGAACCCCACAGCGCCCCAUAGAUACCUCAUAGCGCCCCACAGCAUCCCAUAGAACCCCACAGCACCCCAUAGAACCCCCCAGCGCCCCAUAGAUGCCCCCCGGCGCCCCACAGGUACCUCCGGGGGCAGGCUGGGCUCCUCGGGCACCUCCAGCGCUGUGGGGCAGACGCCGCUCGUGGGUCCCGCCCCAUAGCGCGACACCAAGGGGUCCCGGCGCCGUGGGGCCGCCCCCCGCGCGCGCUCCGCCCCACAAGUGCUCACCCGGCGGUGGGGCCGCCGCCUCCUCCUCCUCCUCCGGGAUCUCCUCCACUUGUGGGGCAGAGAGGCG